rnacentral:rRNA from 1 species
GAUCCUGGCUCAGAAGUCGUAACAAGGUACCCGUAAAAGUGGCAAACGGGUGAGUAACACGUGAGUAAUCUGCCCUUAUCUCUGGGAUAAGCCUGGGAAACUGGCUCUAAUACCGGAUAUGACUCCUCAUCGCGUGGGGGGGGGGGGAAAGCUUUGUGGUGGUUUUGGAUGGACUCGCGGACUAUCUUGUUGUUGAGGAAGUAAUGCCUCACCGAGGCGACGACGGGUAGCCGGGCUGAGAGGGCGACCGGCCCCGCUGGUACUGAAACACGGCCAAUACUCCUACGGGAGGCAGCGGGGGGGAAUGUUGCACGAUGGGCGCCCGGCUGAUGCAACGACGCCGCRGGGAUGAYGRCCGUCUUCGGGUUGUAAACCUUCUUUCAGUAGGGAAGAAGMGAARAGUGACGGUACCUGCAGAAGAASCGCCGGGCUAACUACGUGCCAGCAGNCCGCGGUAAUACGUAGGGCGCAAGCGUUAUCCGGAAUUAUUGGGCGUAAAGAGCUCGUAGGCGGUUUGUCGCGUCUGCCGUGAAAGUCCGGGGCUCAACUCCGGAUCUGCGGUGGGUACGGGCAGACUAGAGUGAUGUAGGGGAGACUGGAAUUCCUGGUGUAGCGGUGAAAUGCGCAGAUAUCAGGAGGAACACCGAUGGCGAAGGCAGGUCUCUGGGCAUUAACUGACGCUGAGGAGCGAAAGCAUGGGGAGCGAACAGGAUUAGAUACCCUGGUAGUCCAUGCCGUAAACGUUGGGCACUAGGUGUGGGGGACAUUCCACGUUUUCCGCGCCGUAGCUAACGCAUUAAGUGCCCCGCCUGGGGAGUACGGCCGCAAGGCUAAAACUCAAAGGAAUUGACGGGGGCCCGCACAAGCGGCGGAGCAUGCGGAUUAAUUCGAUGCAACGCGAAGAACCUUACCAAGGCUUGACAUGAACCGGAAAGACCUGGAAACAGGUCCCCCACUUGUGGUCGGUUUACAGGUGGUGCAUGGUUGUCGUCAGCUCGUGUCGUGAGAUGUUGGGUUAAGUCCCGCAACGAGCGCAACCCUCGUUCCAUGUUGCCAGCGCGUUAUGGCGGGGACUCAUGGGAGACUGCCGGGGUCAACUCGGAGGAAGGUGGGGACGACGUCAAAUCAUCAUGCCCCUUAUGUCUUGGGCUUCACGCAUGCUACAAUGGCCGGUACAAAGGGUUGCGAUACUGUGAGGUGGAGCUAAUCCCAAAAAGCCGGUCUCAGUUCGGAUUGGGGUCUGCAACUCGACCCCAUGAAGUCGGAGUCGCUAGUAAUCGCAGAUCAGCAACGCUGCGGUGAAUACGUUCCCGGGCU